rnacentral:lncRNA from 1 species
UCUAUUGCAACCUUUAUUCAGUUGUGAUAGCCAGCUGAGGUAAAGUCACCAGAGGCCAACCAUGGAGGGCAGAAGAGCACCCCGAAGCCUUCAAUAGGCACAGCUUCUGAGAUGUUUGAUAGGGCCUAUGUACAGGGCCACUUUUAUGCUUCUGAUUGCUUUUUUGGAUUUUUUUUCUGUGCCAUGCUACUGGGUGUUCUGUCCUCAAUUCCCUUGACACAAGGGAAGGAAGAAUUCCAUCCAGAAGCAGCCUUGUGUCAGCACUUGCUCCCAGAUUGUCAGAAAACAACUCCAGCAUCCUGCAACAAGGAACUACUUUGUAUUUCUAGCAUGAAAAACAAAAGUGCUGGAAAAUAGAAGCCUAUGGCCAGGAACAAACAAAAAAAGGAGAUAUAUGGACAAGGAGAACUGGAAGGAAGAAUUCUGGAUAUUAGAGGCCCCCAGCACAUAUACAGCAGAGGACUUCUGGGUCUGCACUCAGUCAGAGAAGAUGCACCUAACCCUCAAGAGGCAGGAAGCCUCAGAGAGUGGGGAGGUCUGAUGGAGGAGGAGAUGGGGUUGCUCUGAAGAUAAGCAACAGCCACUUGGUGUGUUGCCCUAUGAAGAAACACACUCAUAAGCGAAGGAUGCUUCAAGCCAACAACUCUUAAGAAACAAAAGCCUAUAAAUAACCAGGAUCAUCGACAGCUGCUGUGGGUCUCAGAGCAGUUGACCAAAGCAGUCCAAAAUGAGCAGAGGGGGGACAGCGUGGAUGUUCCUGUUGUUGAGGAUACUUCCUGUGGUGAUGACUGAAGAUCCACGCUGGGGAAUCUUAUCGGUGUUUCCCAAACCAUGCCGUUGACACAUUCGGCACAAGUGUUCCCUCGAUUUUUCACAUCUAAUGCUUCACUGCAGUUACCCUUUUUACCAUGGGAUGGGGAAAUAGCGCCUGUGCAGGAACCGAUGCAGCUUCAGUUGAGGGGAUUGCUGUGCUUUCAAAUGAUUCAAAAUAUUUCUCAGAAUAGUGGCUGCUUUCAAAAGUAUAAUCAAACAGCAGCAUGGUUUGAUAUGCCAAUUAAUAGUUCUACUAAAGCUAAUGCCACAUGGAUUCAAGGGGUGUGGCCUGCCAGUAUUUCCAAAGGCAAAGAUACCAUACCUCCCCAACCUAGAUGGGCUCCCUUUUGCAAGGGUACCCAUGAUUCCCUUUCACCAUGGACUGGGUGUCAGUCUAGAAAGGCAGCUUGGGCUAUAAAGAAAUAUUUUACCUUUUCUCCUUAUAUUGGCACAGUGCAUAAUAGCUCAUUUUCAGGAUAUAAUUGGAACUAUCAAAAUCCAGCUCAAGUAGGAGCUAGUAAUCCUUUUAAUGUGUGCUUGUUGUGUGGUGUGAAUGGUAGUUGCACAGAUCUUUCUUCUCUGAGUAUGCUAGUGGGAGGGGUAUGGGGUAAUGCAAGUUUUUAUUGGAAUGGGUCUAGUGUAUUUGAAACCUCUUUAUCUCAACUUGCUGGAGGGCACAAUGCUUCCUUUAAGGCUACGCCUGUUUGUUUGUGGCCUCCUUUUGUGUUUAUUGUUUAUAAUGGUAGUUAUGAGAAUAAUGUUGUUAAUUGUAGUAGUGAUAUUUGUUAUUAUAGUAUGUGCUGGAAUGCAUCUGAAUAUCAUUUAGCUGUUGUGACUAGGAUGCCUCGCUUUGUACCUUGGCCUGUCCAAGCUCUUUCUGCUAUGACUUUGUUCAGACCUAAGAGGGAAUUUUGGCAUUACUGUGGCCAUUGUCACUGCUAUAGCAAUUUCUGCCACCGUAGCCAUGGCUGCGGCCAUAUCCCUUACCUCUGUGAUACAAACUGCCGCGGCUGUGAAUAAUUUAUCCACGGGUGUUGCAGAAUCUUUGGAUGUUCAGGGAAAUAUUAAUAGCCAGCUGAAAGCAGGGAUUUUAUUGCUGAAUCAAAGGAUUGAUUUAGUCUAGGAACAAGUGGAUGUUUUGAUGGACCUAGCACAAUUGGGUUGUGAGUGGAAAUAUUCGGGAUUGUGUGUUACAACUAUACCAUUUGUGAAUGCCAGUCAUGCUGCUCACUUAUCUUGCAAUAUAUCCCAGUACAUUACAGGAAAUUGGUCUCAGCAUUUUGAUGGAUUGGUUCAGGAAUUGAGACAAUCCAUCGUCCAUAUUAACUCCACCCAUGUGGACGUGUCCAUGGCUGAAGUACUGGCCAGCUGGAUCUAUAGCUGUCUCCCGCUUGAAAGAGUGGGCCAGAAUUGGUGGACUUGCCUUGUGUCUGAUAUUAAUCAGCAUCCUGGCCUUUUGAUGCAUUUGCCGUAUACAGUUUCAUCAGUGCAGAACCCAAGCCUUGAUGAUACAGGCUUUUGCAGCAGUGGAGACAGGAUAGUCUCCUCAAGUGUGGCUUGGCAUGCUAAAGAAGUAGUCAAUGAUGCGUAAGACUCCCUGGGUGUGUCACCAACCUAAGACAGGGAUCAAACCAAAGCUGUUUGUCUCCCAAUGAUGGGUAAGGGGCAUUGCUUCAGGGGGCAACCUAAGACAGGCAUUCUCUCUGCCAAAAAAGAGAAAAGGGGUAGAUGUGGGGAGCGGGUGUGGCGGUAGUCCCAGGAUGGCACCUGGGACUGCAGCCAAGUCUUAUGACUUGCACCUGACUUCCUCAUACACCCGAAAAUAAGCCACGUCCAUCGUGAGAGCUACACAGGCACAACAUGAUGCAAGAUCAGGCCAUUUGACAAAGGCCAAUGAACUGAGAUUAUGUGGACUGGGCUGAUGGGGAAUGGUUGAGAGGUUAUAUAAGGGAUUGCGAUUGAGGGCUAGAGAGAGAUUCCUGCUUGCAUGUUGAAAGGUUCCUGAAUAAACUACUUUGA